rnacentral:rRNA from 1 species
CUCGUAGGCGGUUUGUCGCGUCGUCUGUGAAAUUCUGCAACUCAAUUGCAGGCGUGCAGGCGAUACGGGCAGACUCGAGUACUACAGGGGAGACUGGAAUUCCUGGUGUAGCGGUGAAAUGCGCAGAUAUCAGGAGGAACACCGGUGGCGAAGGCGGGUCUCUGGGUAGUAACUGACGCUGAGGAGCGAAAGCGUGGGAGCGAACA